rnacentral:rRNA from 1 species
UACGGAGGAUCCGAGCGUUAUCCGGAUUUAUUGGGUUUAAAGGGAGCGUAGGUGGAAGACUAAGUCAGUUGUGAAAGUUUGCGGCUCAACCGUAAAAUUGCAGUUGAUACUGGUUUUCUUGAGUACAGUAGAGGUGGGCGGAAUUCGUGGUGUAGCGGUGAAAUGCUUAGAUAUCACGAAGAACUCCAAUUGCGAAGGCAGCUCACUAGACUGGGACUGACACUGAGGCUCGAAAGUGUGGGUAUCAAACAGG